rnacentral:lncRNA from 1 species
CGGUCACGAACCAAACACGUUCGGAGAUUUGGCUAUCCUGAUUUCUAUUCCGAUUCCGAUUCUAAUUCGAAUUCUGGUUGUAAACCCAGUACACCCAUAAUGUAUUAGGGCUUCUUUGGUGUCACAUAACACUAAAACCAACUUAUUGCUACAACUAAAACAUCCGCUAAAUAAUGCAAGUCAGAAUCAGGGAGGAAAUGAUAAACCAACUAUGCUGAAAAGAAUUCUAAAAUCAGAAGGCAGGCAUUAUUAGUGUAACAAUGAUGAGUCAUUUAAGGUUUGGCCAACCUUUUGCUUAAAGCAAGUGUCACGCCCCCGAUCCGAAAUUGUGAAUCAAGGGUC